AUUGAACGCUGGCGGCAGGCCUAACACAUGCAAGUCGAGCGAGCGGCGGACGGGUGAGUAAUGUAUGGGGACUGCCCGAUAGAGGGGGAUAACUACUGGAAAAGGUAGCUAAUACCGCAUACUAUCGGAUAACCCAUAUGGGAUUAGCUAGUAGGUGAGGUAAUGGGUCGCCGAGGCGACGAUGCCUAGCUGGUCUGAGAGGAUGAUAAGCCACAAAGGGACUGAGAACCUGCCCAGACGCCUACGGAGGAGGGAGUGGGGAAUAUUGCACGAUGGGCGCAAGCCUGAUGCAGCCAUGCCGCUUGUAUGAAGGAGGGCCUAGGGUGGUAAAGUACUUUCAGUCGGUAGGCGUUACCGACAGAAGAAGCACCGGCUAACUCCGUGCCAGCAGCCGCGGUAAUUC
rnacentral:rRNA from 1 species